GUCGGCUUAGCUCAGAUGGUUAGAUUUACUAUAGCGUCAGCUUGACAUGCUGAAGGUCAUGAGUUCGAAUUUAUACACUCAUUGCCGAUA
rnacentral:tRNA from 1 species